rnacentral:rRNA from 1 species
UACGUAGGGUGCAAGCGUAAUCGGAAUUACUGGGCGUAAAGCGUGCGCAGGCGGUUUUGUAAGUUCUGUCGUGAAAGCCCCGGGCUCCAACCUGGGAAUUGCGAUGGAGACUGCAAGGCUUGAAUCUGGCAGAGGGGGGUAGAAUUCCACGUGUAGCAGUGAAAUGCGUAGAGAUGCGGAGGAACACCGAUGGCGAAGGCAGCCCCCUGGGCUGACACUGACGCUCAGGCACGAAAGCGUGGGGAGCAAACAGG